rnacentral:lncRNA from 1 species
GGACACCAUAGCUAAGGUUUCUUUGCUUUCUCAAGCUCAUAGUAAGUGCAUCCUAGCCCCGUUUUUAAUGUUCUUUGCAUUUUUGAAAUCAUCGUAGCUCGGUUUAGCUUAUUUUACUGUUAAUUCAUGUUAGGGUUUAUAUUUGGAAAAAUACCCAUAGGUGAAAAGUGUUUAUUUUGCUGUUUUAUGGUGGAAUAUGAAGCUAGAAAUUAUGUUAAACAACUUUUGCUAAGCGAUUUUAAACGAAAACGGGUAAAUUGACAUAAUCGGUAAAAAUAGUUAAUGUUCAAAAGUAUGUGUUAGAGUGAGAAUUUGAUGUUGCCAUAGAAGGGAAAAAUAUUCAGCAUGUCAUAAGACAUAAGAAUAAGUGAUGAAAUUUAAUUUCCGAGCUUGGGGACAAAAAUGUAAUUAUUCAAAAGUUUGGGGGCAAAAUUGUAAUUUUUCAAAACUUUGGGUGGAGGAUUAUUUUAAUAAAUGUGAACCUUAAAUAAGUUAAAUUUGUUAUUAUAGAUCAAGAAAGACGAGAGGACUACCUCAAACGAGGAAAAGAAAAGAUAGUGGAAUAAAUUGCAAAAUUACGAUAUUUUGCACCGAGGUAAGUAAACACGUGACUUAAUGUAUUAUUUUGGUAUUAUUUGAUUGAGAUUUAUUUGAAUAUAAAAUAAAUGUUUGGCAAGAUUCCAAAAAUAUCGUUAAAUUGGGAAAGGUGGUAAGGAGUUGCAAAACACGGUUUUUGGUUGAACACUCGGAAUAGGCCGAGCAUAUUGCAUAUAAAGGGGUUGUUGUGUGCUGAUUCCCCUAUUCAUUGGUGGUUGCUAAGUGCUGAUUCCACCGUAUUUUAAAUGUGGAAGGGGGUUGCUAAGUGCUGAUUCCCCCGAGGGGUUGCUAAGUGCUGAUUCCCCUACCUAUUGGUGGUUGCUAAGUGCUGAUUCCACCGUCUUUAAAUGUGAAAGGGGUUGCUAAGGUGGCUGAUUCCCCGUGAGGGUUGCUAAGUGCUGACUUCCCGUACCAUUUNNNNNNNNNNNNNNNNNNNNNNNNNNNNNNNNNNNNNNNNNNNNNNNNNNNNNNNNNNNNNNNNNNNNNNNNNNNNNNNNNNNNNNNNNNNNNNNNNNNNCUGAUUCCACCGCAUCUGAAAUGUGAAGGGGGUUGCUAAGUGCUGAUUCCCCCAAGGGGUUGCUGUGUGCUGAUUCCCCAAUUCAUUGGUGGUGCUAAGUGCGGAAUCCACCAACAACCGGUUAACAUUCCGAGUGUUCACGAGUAAAUUGAGAAGGUGAAUAUUCAUAUAUGUGGUGGACGAGUUUAUGGGAGGAAUAUCGGGUUUGAUACUUAAUCAACCCAUGUAUAAGAUGGGAGGAAAAAUAAAAAAUACAAAAGAAACAAUUUGAAUGCAAAACUGUUUUGAAUGGCAGCAGUUGGGCAACUUUGAAAAAUCACCAUAAAUGGUGAAAAAUGAAUUGGAGGUUGAAUAAAACAUGAAAUUGAAGCUGAAUGAGUCUAUUUUCAUAUGAAAGAAGUGGGGAAAGCAAAGGAAUUAUAUAUUUGGGGAUAUUUAAAUUUUACUGAGACAGGGUUGGAUUGAAUUCGAAAUCCCCUGUUCCAACUUUGGAAAAUCACCAAAGAUUCUAAAAAAAUAAUUAUGGCUUGAAAUUUAUAUGUAUGGAUUCCUUUUUGAGUCUAUUUUUAAUAGAAACAAACUAGAACAUUGUUUGAAACUUGUAUAGAGAGUUAUGUGAAUUUUUGUAAGGGGAGGUCAGGACUGUCGGGUAGUGAAACAGGGGAAACUUUAAUGAAUAAACUGUACUAAUUGAUCCAACCAAAAAUUCUGAAAAUUUUAUGGUGGAAAUAUAUAUGAAACUAGUUUCAGGGAAAAUUUACGGAAUCUGAUUUGGAGCCCUGUAGCUCCCAAUAAAAAUAAAUUAGUGACCAUGACGCAGAAAUACUGCUUGCUGGAAUUUGACCAAAUAAUGAAAUUUAUUUGUGAUAAAAGUUAUAUUUUGGUGUAAUCAUGUGGGAAAUUUAUCUACUUGUCAUAUGUUUACUUACUAAGCUAUAUGCUUACUUGCUUUUAUUUUUCCCUUGAUUAUAGUGAUAUCCAUCAACUUGGAAUUGGGACGGAGUCGGACAAUCAUCCACACUAUCAUCCGUGUUUGGGUAUUUUGCUACUGGUAUUCCAGAAAUUAUGGCAUGUAUAGACGACUUUAUGUAAUGUGGCGUCACUGUAUAUAUAUAUGUUAUGGUUCGAUCUAAAAUGUGGCGUUUAUAAAUAGUUAAAUUGUGUAUCUUUAUACAACUGUUUUGGUUGGAAAUUUGAAUUGUGGUUGGAAAUUGC